CAAAAUGGAGCGAGUCACGACCUUUUUCUCUUCUCUCUCGUUGAAGUGUCGCCCUAGCCGCCACAGAAGCAAAUUUUCCGAUCUCCCUCUCCGGUGUGUGGCGCUCCUCGCCGUCACUGUGAGAGGGUCCCUGCUGCUUUGUCUUUCUUUGUUUAUUGUCUUUGGGUUUUGCCUCAGCUUUCUCCGGUGAGUAGAGCAGAGUUUUGUUCGCUCGUUGUUGUAGUCUGGUCUUCACGGUGUGGUAUGCUCGGUGUUCUCUGCGAUCGUCGAUCUCCCUCCCCUAGCGAUGUCUGAAGAUUGAAGAUUUGUUUCGUCAGAUCCAGUGAGUGCUAGGGUCUCGUGGCUUGCUCUUCUCUGUUCGUCUGGUCCUGGGUUUUUGUUUGUCUAUUGGUCGGGUUUACUUUCCUCCUGCUCUUGUUCCUUCUCCGUGAAGCUGAGCAGUCGUCGAUCGUCGUAUUCGGAAGUGUGCUCGAGGUUCUCUUAACUCUUUUGUCUCGCUUGCCGGGUUAUGAAGUCUUGGUUCGUGGUUUCGAGAGAUCAGCUCUCAUCGUGAUAGGAGGAGGUAGAUGUUAUCUUCGGUUUGGCCGCGGGCAUCCUUGGUAAAUCUCAAUCGCUUGUGCUUCAGAAGAAUUGGGUUCUUGUGUUCUUGGGUCUUUCGUUUCUUUUAAGGUUUAUGCUUGAUGCUUCUUUCUUAGUUUUUGGUUUCGACCUCUUGCGUUUGUGGUUUGAAUUCUUUUGCUUUGUACUACUACUGUUUUUAGUUUCCCUUCUAUAGGGCCUAGCUUCCGGGGAAAUCUCGCUUUCCGCCGGCUUUGUCUCCGGGGACAUACAUGUCGUUCGCCGGCUUUAGUUUCCCUCUUUUGGGCGUUGUAUUCUAUCCUGGUUCCAUUUGAAGAUCAAUAAUAAAAUUCUAGAUGACAAAAAAAAAAA